rnacentral:pre_miRNA from 1 species
UCUAUUUGGUUCUCUGUUGAUAGGUCUGGUGAUAUGUCACCAGACCUAUCAACAGAGAACCAAAUAGACCAU